GAUGAAGAACGUAGCGAAAUGCGAUACGUAAUGUGAAUUGCAGAAUUCAGUGAAUCAUCGAAUGUUUGAACGCACAUUGCGCCCGCUAGUAUUCUGGCGGGCAUGCCUGUCCGAGCGUCAUUUCAACCCAUCAAGCUUAGCGCUUGUGUUGGAGCCCUGCGGCCGCCGCAGCCUCCUAAAAUCAGUGGCGGGCUCGCUAUCACGCUGAGUGCAGUAGUAUUCUUCUCACUCCUGUGGUGUAGCGGGUAACCAGCCGUAAACCCCCCCAUCUAUAAAGGUUGACCUCGGAUCAGGUAGGAAUACCCGCUGAACUUAAGCAUAUCAAUAAGCGGAGGA
rnacentral:misc_RNA from 1 species